rnacentral:rRNA from 1 species
GAAAGGUUGGGUAAUUCCCGAUAGUCCCGUAAGGGUAAAGGUUUUUCGCUCGGGGAGUUGCUUGCGCAGUAUCAGCUAGUUGGUAGGGUAACGGCCUACCCAGGCGACGACGCUUAGGGGAGGUGAGAGGCUGACCCCCCCCGAUGGGACUGCGACCCGGCCCCUACUCCUACGGGAGGCCGCCGACGAGAAUAUUCCGCAAUGGGCGAAAGCCCGACGGAGCGACGCCGCGUGAUCGAUGAAGUGCUUCGGUACGUAAAGGUUUUUUAUCCGGGACGAAGUUUAUUGACGGAAGCUGAUGAAUAAGGGGCUCCUAACUUUGUGCC